GAUGAACGCUGGCGGCGUGCCUAAUACAUGCAAGUCGAACGCUUCACUUCGGUGAAGAGUGGCGAACGGGUGCGUAAUACAUAAGUAACCUGGCAUCUACAGGGGGAUAACUGAUGGAAACGUCAGCUAAGACCGCAUAGGUGUAGAGAUCGCAUGAACUCUAUAUGAAAAGUGCUACGGGACUGGUAGAUGAUGGACUUAUGGCGCAUUAGCUUGUUGGUAGGGUAACGGCCUACCAAGGCGACGAUGCGUAGCCGACCUGAGAGGGUGACCGGCCACACUGGGACUGAGACACGGCCCAGACUCCUACGGGAGGCAGCAGUAGGGAAUUUUCGGCAAUGGGGGGAACCCUGACCGAGCAACGCCGCGUGAAGGAAGAAGUAAUUCGUUAUGUAAACUUCUGUCAUAGAGGAAGAACGGUGGAUAUAGGGAAUGAUAUCCAAGUGACGGUACUCUAUAAGAAAGCCACGGCUAACUACGUG
rnacentral:rRNA from 1 species